CCACCACGGGGCAGUUUUAUUGUUCAUUUUUCGAAAAUCGGCCCUCCCCGAGUGCGUCUCUGGUGAUUGCUGCACUAUUUUCGCAUGAAGUGGGCACACACACACACAUAUAUACGCGUUGUAAGUUGUCUCGCG
ensembl:ncRNA F47B7.12 ncRNA